rnacentral:rRNA from 1 species
AGCGAACGCUGGCGGCAGGCCUAACACAUGCAAGUCGAACGAACCUUUCGGGGUUAGUGGCGGACGGGUGAGUAACACGUGGGAACGUGCCUUUAGGUUCGGAAUAACUCAGGGAAACUUGUGCUAAUACCGAAUGUGCCCUUCGGGGGAAAGAUUAAUCGCCUUUAGAGCGGCCCGCGUCUGAUUAGCUAGUUGGUUGAGGUAAUGGCUCACCAAGGCGACGAUCAGUAGCUGGUCUGAGAGGAUGAUCAGCCACAUUGGGACUGAGACACGGCCCAAACUCCUACGGGAGGCAGCAGUGGGGAAUCUUGCGCAAUGGGCGAAAGCCUGACGCAGCCAUGCCGCGUGAAUGAUGAAGGUCUUAGGAUUGUAAAAUUCUAUCACCGGGGACGAUAAUGACGGUACCCGGAGAAGAAGCCCCGGCUAACUUCGUG